rnacentral:ncRNA from 1 species
UCGGCGAGUAGAAGCGGUUAGGGCCCACCGGGCCCGGGACAUUGCUCGGCAU